GACGAACCGAGCGAACGUUGUUCGGAAUCACUGGGCUUAAAGGGCGCGUAGGCGGGCUGCCGCGUCCGGGGUGAAAUCCCACGGCUCAACCGUGGAACUGCUGGGUAUACUGGCGAUCUUGAGCCACCUAGGGGCGAGCGGAACAAGCGGUGGAGCGGUGAAAUGCGUAGAUAUCGCUUGGAACGCCAAUGGUGAAAACAGCUCGCUCGGGGUGUGCUGACGCUGAGACACGAAAGCCAGGGGAGCGAACGGG
rnacentral:rRNA from 1 species